rnacentral:misc_RNA from 1 species
UGUAGGAGUGAGCCUGCUCGCGAUAGCGGUGUGUCAGACAACAUCAACGUGGCUGAUGCACCGCUAUCGCGAGCAGGCUCACUCCUACA